CAAGGCGAGGCCUUAUUAGACCCGGACCAAGGCGAGGCCUUACUAGACCCGGACCAAGGCGAGGCCUUACUAGACCCGGACCAAGGCGAGGCCUUACUAGACCCGGACCAAGGCGAGGCCUUACGAGACCCGGACCAAGGCGAGGCUUUACGAGACCCGGACCAAUGUGAGGCCUUGUGAGGCCUUAUUAGACUCAGCCCUGCCCACUGAGCGCUCCUGUUAGUGCUGUCAGAUGCUCAUAAAGUGGCAGUGAAUGAACUGACAGGGUUUUGUCAGCAGGAGAUGUGAAGUGUGUAGAAUAUUCUGGAGUUGUGUGAAGUGUCUGGGCAAAACUACUGCAAUAUAAUCUCCAGGUUGGGUGCCAGAGGUACCAGGAAAUCUAUCCAAGAGGCGCCUGCAGAAAGAGGCAGGAAAUUGAACCAGUUGACAGAAGAACCCCCUGAAGGCUGGUUCAGAGUCAUUAAGGCCAUUUAGCUCAUCAGCUAGCUCCACCCAAAAGCACAAGCAGCUGAGAUGAGUGACGGCGGGGGUGAACUCCGGAGCGAGUAACGUGAUCGACUUCGGCCCAAGCAGGAAAAGUUAACACAGUGGUUUGUCCGUUCUGGGCUACUGUAGAAAAACAUGGCGGCCGGCUCCGUGAAGAGGACCUGCUCAUU